rnacentral:rRNA from 1 species
UUACGGGAGGCAGCAGUAAGGAAUAUUGCACAAUGGGCGCAAGCCUGAUGCAGCCAUGCCGCGUGUAUGAAGAAGGCCUUCGGGUUGUAAAGUACUUUCAGCGGGGAGGAAGGGAGUAAAGUUAAUACCUUUGCUCAUUGACGUUACCCGCAGAAGAAGCGCCGGCUAACUCCGUGCCAGCAGCCGCGGUAAUACGGAGGGUGCAAGCGUUAAUCGGAAUUACUGGGCGUAAAGCGCACGCAGGCGGUUUGUUAAGUCAGAUGUGAAAUCCCCGGGCUCAACCUGGGAACUGCAUCUGAUACUGGCAAGCUUGAGUCUCGUAGAGGGGGGUAGAAUUCCAGGUGUAGCGGUGAAAUGCGUAGAGAUCUGGAGGAAUACCGGUGGCGAAGGCGGCCCCCUGGACGAAGACUGACGCUCAGGUGCGAAAGCGUGGGGAGCAAACAGGAUUAGAAACCCCUGUAGUCCG